rnacentral:rRNA from 1 species
CCCUUAGAUGUCCUGGGCCGCACGCGCGCUACACUGAGUGUCUGAGAUACGAGUCUGCCUGGUCCGGCAAGGUCUAGGUAAUCGCUAAAAGACACAUCAUGCUUGGGAUAGAUUAUUGCAAAUAUUAAUCUUGAACGAGGAAUUCCUAGUAAGCGCAAGUCAACAGCUUGCGUUGAUUACGUCCCUGCCCUUUGUACACACCGCCCGUCGCUACUACUGAUUGGAUGUUUAAGCGAGGUUCUCGAACUGCUAGCGACUUAGCUUCGGUGAGGUCGCAGUGUGGGAAGUGAACCUAGCUUUGGUGUCUAGAGGAAGUAAAAGUCGUAACG